AUUGAACGCCAGCGGCAUGCCUUACACAUGCAAGUCGAACGGCAGCGGGGGAGCUUGCUCCCGCCGGCGAGUGGCGAACGGGUGAGUAAUACAUCGGAACGUACCCAGUAGCGGGGGAUAGCCCGGCGAAAGCCGGAUUAAUACCGCAUACGCCCUACGGGGGAAAGGGGGGGAUCGCAAGACCUCUCACUAUUGGAGCGGCCGAUGGCUGAUUAGCUAGUUGGUGGGGUAAAGGCCUACCAAGGCGACGAUCAGUAGCUGGUCUGAGAGGACGACCAGCCACACUGGGACUGAGACACGGCCCAGACUCCUACGGGAGGCAGCAGUGGGGAAUUUUGGACAAUGGGCGAAAGCCUGAUCCAGCAAUGCCGCGUGUGCGAAGAAGGCCUUCGGGUUGUAAAGCACUUUUGUCAGGGAAGAAAUCGUUUGGGUUAAUACCCCGAGCAGUUGACGGUACCUGAAGAAUAAGCACCGGCUAACUACGUGCCAGCAGCCGCGGUAA
rnacentral:rRNA from 1 species